AUACUUACCUUAAGAUAUCAGAGGAGAUCAAGAAGUCCUACUGAUCAAACAUGCGCUUCCAAUGGUAGAAGGAUGUUAAGCAUUUAUCUCUGAAUUAUUAAUAAUUCUCUGAAAUAAUUGAUGCAAACUCCUUGGUCACUUACACAUACAUUGCGGAAGGCGUGUUUGCUGACGUUCCGUUCCCUUGUUUCAAUCAUCGAUUAUCCCUGUGGUUUCUUUGGAAAUCGCGGGGUUCAAUUGAUUUUUGAGGCCCUUUGUUUCUUCUGCCUGGAGAAGUUUGACACCAAAUUCAAAUUGGUGUUAGGGGAGUUGGGGCCUUUUAGAAGAGAGUGUUGUUGAGGUAUUCUUAUAGUGUACUUUCCUCUAGCGCACCGUUCAAUCUUUUAGAUGGCUGAUUCUCAUGGACUUUUAGUUCAUGAUGAAGGUAUAGCCGUUGGGGUUGGCCGGUCAGGACUGUAUAUUUGAGGAUGCGUUCUUUUGAGCAAUCUCGGUUUCACUCGUUGUCAUUUAUGAGAAAAAUUCUGGAAGGUCUUGGUAGGAACGGGUGGAUCUUAUAAUUUUUGAUUUAUUUU
rnacentral:snRNA from 14 species